rnacentral:ncRNA from 1 species
GCACGCGCGCUACACUGACACGAUCAACAAGUAUUUCCUUGCCCGGUAGGGUUAGGGUAAUCUUUUGAAAUCGUGUCGUGCUAGGGAUAGACGAUUGCAAUUAUUCGUCUUCAACGAGGAAUCCUAGUAAAUGCAAGUCAUCAGCUUGCGUUGAUUACGUCCCUGCCCUUUGUACACACCGCCCGUCGCUCCUACCGAUUGAGUGAUCCGGUGAGCUGUCCGGACUGCGAUUAGUUCAGUUUCUGUUCUCUUCGCGGGAAGUUCUGCAAACCUUAUCACUUAGAGGAAGGAGAAGUCGUAACAAGGUUUCCGUAGGUGAACCUGCGGAAGGAUCAUUC